GUGACCGCUUUAUUGAAAGAAGUUCAUUAUCGAAGUGUUAUAUUUAGAAUAUAAUAAUCUUUAUAAGUUCAAUCUUUACUUCAAUGCAGAUCUGCUGUGCAUAAUAAAAACAAAGGAAGAAAGAGGAGGUGGCGAGAGAGGUGUAAAAGACAGAAAGGGAAAGAGACAUCACAUCCUUACCUAAACAGCACCCUCACCUGAGAAGUGGAAAUCAAAGGGAGAGAAACUGGGAAUUGAAUAACUGCAGUUGACAUACCCAAGUAAAUGGAAGAAUACUCUUAUUGCAAUGUGGAUGGCUCUUAAAAGAGCCUUUGGUUGUGCAUAGUGUAGUCUAUGGUGUUGCCAGGGAACAGCACCCUCUUCGAAUAAGUAGGAGGUGAAGAUCUCCCGCACACAGAUUGCCUCUCUUGCUGCGUUGUUGGACCCCAUCCUUGAAACAUCCUGCAGAGCAGCAGACUUCUCCUCUGGCACAUGGCGUAAGCUGCAGAUCUCCUCCUAGUCCUUGUGUCCAUCCUCAUGAAGUUAUGCAGGACAGGGCCACCAGGAGGCAGUCCCAGAUGGCCCUGGUCACCCAACCUUGCAGUGCCCUACACGAUAACUGUAGGCAAUCGUUUUGAAAGAAUCUCCAGUUGCAAGGUAUCUGUAGAAAUAUAGAAGAUAAUGUCAUCAUUAGACUUACAUCACCAGGUAAUUAUGGAUUACUAAAGUAUAAUAUCCCUUAUAACAAACCAUGAUAACAUUGGAUUGAUAGAUGCAUGUGCACACACAUGUGCAUGUGUAGCAUGUGACAAUAACAUGAUCAUAUCAAUGAUAGUGUCACAAAUGAAUACAUAAAUACCACUGGAAGCUUGAUGAGGAGUUGAUCAUUUGAAUCAGCUGUGCAGUACUAAUGCAUAAACAAAAAGAUGCACCCCUUUGAGUCCCCAGGACCAGAACCACUGCUGUUCAUUGGGACCAAUUCAUCUGUAGACAGGCUUUCAUAGCUCUCUUUAUCUGAGGACAGAAAACCGCACAAGAAACAGACUUCAUUAUACUCAAAUUACACCGCAGUGAAUAUUAUGUUACUAUUAUCCUCACUUCUAGGGACUGGAACUACACAAAAGUACCUGCCCUAUCCAGAAUAGCCGACUCUCUCACUUUGACAGUUGGGGCUGCUAUCCUUUCACCCUCCUCCAUGGUUGUUAGCAAGCUACCUACAAAUGCAUUUGGAGUUUGUUUUUUUACAGUGAUAAAUACAUCAAGAUAGCUAAUAUUAAGUUAGGUAGCUGGUGAUAUUUCAUUCACUUAGCUAGCUAUCUAUAGAGUAUGUAAAGUUGGCUAGUAGCUAGCUCAUUUAGCAGCUAAUUUGAGUAAGCCUGCACUGUAGCUAGUUAUCAAAUCAAAUUUUAAUGGUCACAUACACAUGUUUAGCAGAUGUUAAUGCGAGUGUAGCGAAAUGCUUGUGCUUCUUGUUCCAACAAUGCAGUAAUAUCUAACAAGUAAUCUAACAAAUUCACAACAACUACCUUAUACACACAAAUGUAAGGGAUGAAUAAGAAUAUAAUGAAUAAGAAAGUCGGAAGUUUACAUCCACUUAGGUUGGAGUCAUUAAAACUCGUUUUUCAACCACUCCACAAAUUUCUUGUUAACAAACUAUAGUUUUGGCAAGUCAGUUAGGACAUCUACUUUGUGAAUGACACAAGUAAUUUUUCCAACAAUUGUUUACAGACAGAUUAUUUCACUUAUAAUUCACUGUAUCACAAUUCCAGUGGGUCAGAAGUUUACAUACACUAAGUUGACUGUGCCUUUAAACAGCUUGGAAAAUUCCAGAAAAUUAUGUCAUGGCUUUCGAAGCUUCUGAUAGGCUAAUUGACAUCAUUUGAGUCAAUCGGAGGUGUACAUGUGGAUGUAUUUCAAGGCCUACCUUCAAACUCAGUGCCUCUUUGCUUGACAUCAUGGGAAAAUGAAAAGAAAUCAACCAAGACCUCAGAAAAAAAAUUGUAGACCUCCACAAGUCUGGUUCAUCCUUGGGAGCAAUUCCCAGACGCCUGAAGGUACCACGUUCAUCUGUACAAACAAUAGUAUGCAAGUAUAAACACCAUGGGACCACUCAGCCAUCAUACCGCUCAGGAAGGAGACGCGUUCUGUCUCCUAGAGAUGAACGUACUUUGGUGUGAAAGGUGCAAAUCAAUCCCAGAACAACAGCAAAGGACCCUGUGAAGAUGCUGGAGGAAACGGGUACAAAAG
rnacentral:lncRNA from 1 species